UUUUGAACUUGCAAGGAGCAGUCAAGCGUCUCACUGUGAUAAACCUACGAAGUAUUCUUUCUCUCAUUUUCUUGUUUAGAAAAGUUAUCAACUAAGUGGUCGAACUCUUCGUAAACUACCAUUCCUUGCACAUGCGCUGUACUCAAAAGCGCAAACGAUAACCUUAGAAGAGUUUUGAAUAAUCUUUCAAUGGUUGUCGACAAGCAGUUCAAAGAAAAAGAGAAUCUUUGCUCAGUUGGUGAAG